rnacentral:lncRNA from 1 species
AGGCUCUUCACUUGAACACAUGGCUGCUGAUUUCCCAAGAGUCUUCUGAGAAUCGUUUUUAGUAGAUUCAGAAUGAUGUUUCAGUAGCAGAGUUUCACCAUGCAGCAAAUCAUCUGGAUCUGGUUCAAACUUGUUCUGAUUUCUAGAAAGGUCAUCAGGAUCUGGUUCAUAAGCAAGUUUCCCCACAGGCCUAAUUGGACUUUGAAUAUCUAGAUUUUCAUUUCCAUCAUGAAUGGUCAACCCAGAGUCUUGGAUUCUCUGUAAUUUUUGAUCAUCCGGAUCAGGCUCAUCAAUUUUCAUAUCAUAUAUUCCCAGCUGUAGCAAUAACUUAUCAUCUCGAUGAGGCUCUGCUCGUGCUAUUUCAUCUGCUUUAGUUUCAUCAGGAUCAGGUUCUUUAUGACCUUGGUUGAAACAGGCUUGAUCUACCAAGGUUUCAGUUGUUAUGUGAUGUCCAGGAUCAUGUCUUGCCAUGCUUGGGCAUCCCAAAAUGUUCGAUUGUGCUUCUCCAUCAUCAGGAUCUGGUUCAUCUAUGGUCUCUCUUGUCAGAAUCUUGGUGUCCAGAAUCUCCAUCACCACAGGUUCAACUACAUUUCCAAAACUUGAAGCACCUGAAUCAUCAGGAUCAGGCUCUUCACUUGAACAUAUGGCUGCUGAUUUCCCAAGAGUCUUCUGAGAAUCAUUUUUAGUAGAUGCAGACUGAUGUUUCAGUAGCAGAGUUUCACCAUGCAGCAAAUCAUCUGGAUCAGGUUCAAACUUGUUAUGAUUGCUAGAAAGGUCAUCAGGAUAUGGUUCAUAAGCAAGUUUCCUCAAAGACCUAAUUGGACUUUGAAUAUCUAGAUUUUCAUUUCCAUUGUGAAUAGUCAAACCAGAGUCUUGGAUUCUCUGUAAUUCUUGAUCAUCCGGAUCGGGCUCAUCAAUUUUCAUAUCAUAUAUUCCCAGCUGUGGCAAUAACUUAUCAUCUCGAUGAGGAUCUGCUUGUGCUAUUUCAUCUGCUUUAGUUUCAUCAGGAUCAGGUUCUUUAUGGCCUUGAUUGAAAUGGGCUUGAUCUACCAAGGUUUCAGUUGUUAUGUGAUGACGAGGAUCAUGUCUUGCCAAGCUUGUGCAUCCCAAAAUGUUCGAUUGUGCUUCUCCAUCAUCAGGAUCUGGUUCAUCUAUGGUCUCUCUUGUCAGAAUCUUGGUGUCCAGAAUCUCCAUCACCAUAGGUUCAACUACAUUUCCAAAACUUGAAGCACCUGAAUCAUCAGGAUCGGGCUCUUCACUUGAACACAUGGCUGCUGAUUUCCCAAGAGUCUUCUGAGAAAUGUUUUUAGUAGAUUCAGAAUGAUGUUUCAGUAGCAGAGUUUCACCGGGCAGCGUGUCAUCUGGAUCAGGUUCAAACUUGUUCUGAUUGCUAGAAAGAUCAUCAGGAUCUGGUUCAUAAGCAAGUUUCCCCAGAGCCCUAAUUGGACUUUGAAUAUCUAGAUUUUCAUUUCCAUCGUGAAUAGUCAACCCAGAAUCA